CUGAAAAACACUUCUACCAAGUGAAGAAAAUCCUGCAGAGAGCGUAUAGCCCUCCUGCUUGCUAUCUUUUCUGCUUGUCUUACAUCUUCUGACCUUGUCUUGGCGUGUUCCCAGCACAAUCUGGAGUUGCCUGUUAGCCCCAGUUCGCCCCAUGCCCAGCACUGUGUGCCUGCAGUGAGCACUUCCUCAGCAGCAGUUUCAGGCCCAUCUCUAGGCUUUUCCCAUCUCUGGGAUCUCAGGGAUUUCCCCAUCUCUGCAAAAGCUCUGAGUUGCCUUUAACAAGCUCUUGUCAGCAAGAGGUACUGUUGCCAAAUGAUAUUCCAGGCCUAAACUAAAAAUCCAGCUCUGGCAUUUACAUUUUGCAAAUGAUUUUUCAUCAGUGAUUAAGCCACUCCUGCUGAUGCUGUGUAAGACCAUGCUGCUGGACCACUGGCGGGACCACAGAGGAUGGGUCGCAUUGUGGUGCCCCACCCUGAUGUCUCCCAGCGUUUGCAAACACCCUGGGUCCAGCAUGGCCCAUACAGCAUUGUACGCCUUCCAGCCCAGGGAGAGGAGAUGUUGGAAGAGGACUGAGAGGUGUCUGCAAAGCCAGCUACAGCCUCAUAGGUUGCUGUAAGGGCCGAGUGCAGCGCCACAGUGACACAGGCUCAGCCACGUGACUAUUGGUCAGCAUGCCCUGUUGAUGCUCCUUUUCCCACAGAACGGUCUGGCUAGCUUCCAUCGCCUAUCUCCUCGACAUUCUUCCCCAUUUUCCCAUGCAGCUCACAUUAAGAAAAAAAAAAAAAGACGACGCCUCCCCAUAAACCCGUACGCGAAACACAGCAUGUGAGGCACCGGCCUACAAUCUCCUACAAUCUCCACUGUGCGCUAGCAAACCCCAGUGACUUCUUGGCUCUCCUGGUCCUCCUUUCCAAACCUGAGGGACACAAACAGGCCAUAUGUAACAACAUGGCACAGGUCACAACUUGUCCUGCAUACAGGGCUUGUCACCUGCAACUCCAAGUGCUCGCAGCCUGAAAUGCCCUCAGUCUGAUGGAUGCCAUACUGUUCCUAUAAUGACUUUCUUUAAAUAAGUUGGCUCAAUAGUAUAAUCACAGCAAUGGUGAAGAGUUGAGCCGGUAUUGGAUAUUCAUGGAAGGCAAGGUUUUCAGUCAGGUUCCAUCAACAUGAUAUUUUGCAAUAGGCACGUGCUGAUCCAGCUGAGAGCGCAGAGAAAACACCACCAUUUGGAUCAAUUCUGUGGAAACAGCUCCAAUUUUCUGUUUUAAUCUCUGAAUUGCUGCACUGAAAUCCACUGAGGUAAUCUGUGUUUGACCAAAAAAUGUUGUUGAAGGGGAAAAAAAGCCUACAGGCUGUUUUUUUGCGGGAAAAGGAAUAUGAUCUGUCAAAAGGAUUAUUUUUUACAAAUUAUUUGUCUGGUUUUAAUGCUGAACAAGAAUUACAUUUUUCUUCCUGACAUCUCAUCACAAACUGAGUGCUGAACUGAGGUGCAGUUAAGUGAACUGGAGCAACUGAGCUACUGCUGUCCUGGUUUAUCAGCUCUCAUUUCUUAUACUCCUAGCAGAAGAAGAGAAAUAAAAUAAAAUAAAAUAAAAAACCCCA
rnacentral:lncRNA from 1 species